AAACGAAAAGCGAAAUUAUCGCACUAAGUUUCGGCCUUAGCCUUGAGUAUAUUCUCUUCGUUUA
rnacentral:tRNA from 1 species